rnacentral:rRNA from 1 species
AUUAUCCUACGGGAGGCAGCAGUGGGGAAUAUUGCACAAUGGGGGAAACCCUGAUGCAGCAACGCCGCGUGAAGGAAGACGGUUUUCGGAUUGUAAACUUCUGUUCUUAGUGAAGAAUAAUGACGGUAGCUAAGGAGCAAGCCACGGCUAACUACGUGCCAGCAGCCGCGGUAAUACGUAGGUGGCAAGCGUUGUCCGGAUUUACUGGGUGUAAAGGGCGUGCAGCCGGAGAGACAAGUCAGAUGUGAAAUCCACGGGCUCAACCCGUGAACUGCAUUUGAAACUGUUUCCCUUGAGUGUCGGAG